rnacentral:rRNA from 1 species
CCUACGGGUGGCAGCAGUGAGGAAUAUUGGUCAAUGGUCGCAAGACUGAACCAGCCAUGCCGCGUGCAGGAAGACGGUCCUAUGGAUUGUAAACUGCUUUUAUACAGGAAGAAACCCUCCCACGUGUGGGAGCUUGACGGUACUGUAGGAAUAAGGAUCGGCUAACUCCGUGCCAGCAGCCGCGGUAAUACGGAGGAUCCAAGCGUUAUCCGGAAUCAUUGGGUUUAAAGGGUCCGUAGGCGGUCUUAUAAGUCAGUGGUGAAAGCCCAUCGCUCAACGAUGGAACUGCCAUUGAUACUGUAAGACUUGAAUGCUUAGGAAGUAACUAGAAUAUGUAGUGUAGCGGUGAAAUGCUUAGAUAUUACAUGGAAUACCAAUUGCGAAGGCAGGUUACUACUAAGUGAUUGACGCUGAUGGACGAAAGCGUGGGGAGCGAACAGGAUUAGAUACCCCAGUAGUC